rnacentral:piRNA from 1 species
UAUGUGCACAGACUCAUUGGACAGAGUCCUC